CUACGUGUUGCGCAUGCGCAACGCUCGACACGGUCCACUCCGCCUAUUCGAGCCACCAAAGGUUUUCACGAAUGUGAGGUUAUGGAUAAAAGAGAGAAGAAUCGUUUCUUGAAAGAAAAAGAUGGGAUUGAUUACAUUGAAGAUUAUUUAUGUAUUUCUUAUUAAGAGUUGUUGUUACGGUUGUAGUAAACAUGUGGUGAUUUCUUAGAUGUGUAGGGAUAAGUGGAAAGUGAAAAAUUGAUCGAGUGUCUUUUUUGCUUAAAGUCAUGCAACAAAUGGAUAAUAAAGAAAUUGAUGAAAAAGUUACAUAAAAAAAUACAUAAUCAUUGAUUCUUUGUUUCACGUGUAAAGGAAAUCAAUAAGUUAUGCAACAAACUAUGGCACAUGAUUGAUACAUCUUCACCUGAGAAAGAAAAUAUUUUUUAUUUUUAAUCCUCAAUAAUUAAAUCUAACCUAACCUCUUCAUCGUCUCUAAAUAAUCCACGAUUAAUGUGGAUAAGGCAAGAUUUGGAAAAAUAUUUGGAAAAUAAUUCUGGAUCUUCUUACUUUUCAUUUCAAGAAUAACCAUCUAUUAUUAAUUCUUAAAUCAGCAUAGAAAUUAUAUUACGCUUGUCCACAGAGUUCUCACCUUGAUGUUCAAUACGAUUUCAUAGAAUAAUGCUCGUUUUGGAUCAUGAAAUACUGUUGUAGAGAAACGUGUAAUCAAAAGGAUUGUUGUAACAAUUAACGAGCUCGAACCAUUGCUGAUGUAGUGAAGUGUGGUCGAGAGUGUAUGAGAAUCGAUCACCACUUUAUUUGGGUUAAUAGGUUCUGGAAUAAGUCUUUGUAGGUUUUCACAGUAGAUAAAUGUCAUUUUAUCUAUUUAGUAAAAAAUUUAUUGUUAAAAAAUCAACUCAUGUACAUGUAAUUGUCAUGUAAUUAAUAUAAUUGAAUGGAUAAAUAUAUUGUUGAUAAUGUUAUUAACAGAAACAAUGCAAUAAUCUCUGAAAAAAAGAAAAAAAAUAAGAGGAUUUCUUUUUAAAUCAAUCUUCCAAGCCAACUUCUCUCGUAAACCAAAUAAUAAAAUUGAACAUGGACAAUUAUACUAGAAAUCACACGCAAAUGAAAACUAUUCGUACACGCUUGAACAUAUCAAACUCUUGAUAAAAAAGAGCUUGGUGCAUGCAUUUGCUUCGAAGAGAAAACGCUUAAAAUAUCAUUUUCAUCAUACGCCCAGUCACGAAGGAAUCCAUAUUUUCCAUGGUCGAGAAAAAAAAACGCGAGAAAGUUUUUAAAUCCGACGCAUUCGCUAUGGAAAACGCGAUGUUUGCGCGAUUGUUGGUCGUUGGAAGAAAAGUAAAAGAGAGAGAAAGAGAAAAAAAUGAGAAAAAAUUGAGAAGAAAAAAAAUACGGUCGAGAAAUACGACAAAAUAAAUAUUAGAGAACAUCGAAACGAUUCUUGUGGAUAAACAAUGGUGAAAGAGAGGAAAUGUUGUUUCUGCACGGUAAGAGAGUUCCAUCGAUCGAGAAUAGACGAAUCACGUGAGUUCUCAGUUCAAAGCCGAGUUAAUUUUUCUUUCGGCGAAAGAGAGAUCAGCUCCUGCGUUUCCUAUUGCGUGAGAGUUUCUUCGUUCGAAACGAGGCAAACUUCGUAAAAAAUUCGACGAUUACUUUACCAUUUUCAGAUCAAGAAAUCUUCAUUUAUCGUAGAUUUUCUUUCCUUACAGUAACGUUCGCUUUAACAUCGUUAUUUCUACCAAUUUUUAGAAACAGAAUCUUGAAGUAAAAUCUAACCUAACUUAAAUGAAUUGAAAAUCCUUUAUUUAACUUACACUUAUUUCCUUUUUUUCACUCGAUUUUGAAUUCGCAAAUUCUCGAAAUCGAAUUUUGGAUUGAAAUUGUACGAGAUAAAUCUAACCUAAAAAAAUUUAAUGUAACCUAAUUUAAACAGAAUUGGAUAUUAAUUUACAUUCACUUCUUUUUGUCUCGCUUGAUUUUACAAAAGUCGUAUAUAAGAUUUAUAUUGCAGAUAUUAAAGCGAGCAUUAUUGUAUUUUUAUUGUAUAAUAAUUUAUAUCAGUUACGUUACGUUUAUUCAAUUGAAAUUUAAUUUCGAUGAGAUUUUUUAACGAAUCGAUCAAAUUAAAAUGUAAUCGAUUAAAAUGUAAACGCAGCUUUAGAAAUUAGAGAAAUUUAAAAUUAUUUGCUUCACGAAAGUGUGUGUAUAUUAAAGGCUGUGUUUACAUUAAACGUCAUGGUCAAAACUUGCUUAAUGUAAACACGCCAUUCAAGAUUCGGAGGUUUCAUGUGUUUCAUGUGUUUCAUGUGUAGACAUAACCAAUGUUACAUUGUAUAAAGUUACUUCAAUUUGAUUAACAAUUCAUUGCCCGAGAUAAAAUUAUGUUUAUGUAACAAAAGUAUUUGUUGAAAAAUACAUAUAGUGAUAAAAAAUAUAAUAAUAAAUAUAAUAUUAAAAUUGUUUUCACUAUAUUGUGAAACAUUAAGAUGAGAAAAUUUUUUGCGAAAUUAUGUAACUAAAAUUCGCGUGACUUUCUUUCUUUUAAAUGACGGUGGAAGUAAGUAGAUAAGAUAAUUGAGAAAAUGAGUAAAGUUAAUAUGCAGU